UUGAACGCUGGCGGCAGGCCUAACACAUGCAAGUCGAACGGUAACAGGAAGCAGCUUGCUGCUUUGCUGACGAGUGGCGGACGGGUGAGUAAUGUCUGGGAAACUGCCUGAUGGAGGGGGAUAACUACUGGAAACGGUAGCUAAUACCGCAUAACGUCGCAAGACCAAAGAGGGGGACCUUCGGGCCUCUUGCCAUCGGAUGUGCCCAGAUGGGAUUAGCUUGUUGGUGGGGUAACGGCUCACCAAGGCGACGAUCCCUAGCUGGUCUGAGAGGAUGACCAGCCACACUGGAACUGAGACACGGUCCAGACUCCUACGGGAGGCAGCAGUGGGGAAUAUUGCACAAUGGGCGCAAGCCUGAUGCAGCCAUGCCGCGUGUAUGAAGAAGGCCUUCGGGUUGUAAAGUACUUUCAGCGGGGAGGAAGGGAGUAAAGUUAAUACCUUUACUCAUUGACGUUACCCGCAGAAGAAGCACCGGCUAACUCCGUGCCAGCAGCCGCGGUAAUACGGAGGGUGCAAGCGUUAAUCGGAAUUACUGGGCGUAAAGCGCACGCAGGCGGUUUGUUAAGUCAGAUGUGAAAUCCCCGGGCUCAACCUGGGAACUGCAUCUGAUACUGGCAAGCUUGAGUCUCGUAGAGGGGGGUAGAAUUCCAGGUGUAGCGGUGAAAUGCGUAGAGAUCUGGAGGAAUACCGGUGGCGAAGGCGGCCCCCUGGACGAAGACUGACGCUCAGGUGCGAAAGCGUGGGGAGCAAACAGGAUUAGAUACCCUGGUAGUCCACGCCGUAAACGAUGUCGACUUGGAGGUUGUGCCCUUGAGGCGUGGCUUCCGGAGCUAACGCGUUAAGUCGACCGCCUGGGGAGUACGGCCGCAAGGUUAAAACUCAAAUGAAUUGACGGGGGCCCGCACAAGCGGUGGAGCAUGUGGUUUAAUUCGAUGCAACGCGAAGAACCUUACCUGGUCUUGACAUCCACAGAACUUUCCAGAGAUGGAUUGGUGCCUUCGGGAACUGUGAGACAGGUGCUGCAUGGCUGUCGUCAGCUCGUGUUGUGAAAUGUUGGGUUAAGUCCCGCAACGAGCGCAACCCUUAUCCUUUGUUGCCAGCGGUCCGGCCGGGAACUCAAAGGAGACUGCCAGUGAUAAACUGGAGGAAGGUGGGGAUGACGUCAAAUCAUCAUGCCCUAUAUGUCCUGGGCUACACACGUACUACAAUGGCUGUAACAGAGGGAAGCAACAUAGAGAUGUGAAGCAAAUCCCAAAAAGCAGUCUCAGUUCGGAUUGAAGGCUGAAAUUCGCCUUCAUGAAGCCGGAAUUGCUAGUAAUGGCAGGUCAGCAUACUGCCGUGAAUACGUUCCCGGGCCUUGUACACACCGCCCGUCACACCAUGAGAGUCGGGAAUACCCGAAGCCUGUGAGCCAACAUAUUUAUAUGAGGCAGCAGUCGAAGGUAGAAUCGAUGAUUGGGGUG
rnacentral:rRNA from 1 species